GAAAUGCGAUAAGUAGUGUGAAUUGCAGAAUUUAGCGAAUCAUCGAAUCUUUGAACGCACAUUGCGCCCCUUGGUAUUCCAUGGGGCAUGCCUGUUCGAGUGUCAUUUCAACCCUCAAGCACUGCUUGGUGUUGGGCGUUUGUCCCGCCUACGCGCGUGGACUCGCCUCAAAGUCAUUGGCAGCUGUUCCCCUUCGGCUCGUAAGCGCAGCACAGUCGGCGCCCGGAGCUCUGGUGGGAUGGCGUCCAGCAAGCUAUAUUUUCAGGCUUGACCUCGGAUCAGGUAGGGAUACCCGCUGAACUUAAGC
rnacentral:misc_RNA from 1 species